rnacentral:rRNA from 1 species
ACGGAAGGCAGCAGUGGGGAAUAUUGCACAAUGGGGGAAACCCUGAUGCAGCAACGCCGCGUGAGUGAUGACGGUCUUCGGAUUGUAAAGCUCUGUCUUUGGGGACGAUAAUGACGGUACCCAAGGAGGAAGCCACGGCUAACUACGUGCCAGCAGCCGCGGUAGUACGUAGGUGGCGAGCGUUGUCCGGAUUUACUGGGCGUAAAGGGAGCGUAGGCGGAUUCUUAGGUGGGAUGUGAAAUACCCGGGCUUAACCUGGGUGCUGCAUUCCAAACUGGGAAUCUAGAGUGCAGGAGGGGAGAGUGGAAUUCCUAGUGUAGCGGUGAAAUGCGUAGAGAUUAGGAAGAACACCAGUGGCGAAGGCGACUCUCUGGACUGUAACUGACGCUGAGGCUCGAAAGCGUGGGGAGCAAACAGGAUUAGAUACCCUGGUA